UGGUCUUCCUUGUUACAGUGUUCUUAUUUAAAUUUUUAAAUUAUAUCGUCAUGUAUACUGUUGCACCUUAAGCAAUGCUCCAUUAGUUCUCUAUCAGACUGAAGUCUAGUUUUUUACUUUCCGUUCUAUAUUUUCAAAAUGAUUCAGAUCUCCUGAGCUGUUUCUUGACUUGACUUGACUUGGCAAGCAGAAACUAUAAUUUACAUGAUUAUAACUCACCCACUAAUACUGAGAUUCUGAUUGCAGGAUCUGAUGACAUGCCAGCACAUAUAAAAUCAUCAAUGUUUGGCUAUGGCUUGACGUAUGCCCUCCCUCCCUAAUGUUUCUCUUUUACAAAAUAUGAGUGCCUUCGUCCAAAACAAAUUUUGUGACAUUUUUCCUUUGUCUUCAGAAUUCCUAUCACUGAUGGGUGUCUCAACAUGGGAACUUGGCAGGCUGAGCUGGAGAGCGGGCUGAACCUGUCUGAUGCAGUUCCCUGUCGCGGCCGUAGAGGAGGCAGAACCUGGACCGAGCCCCGCCGCGGCCGUAGAGGAGGCAGAGGCCGGCGAGCGGCGGAAGUGUGAUCGGGAGGCAGAACCUGGACCUGAGCCCCGCCACGGCCGUAGAGGAGGAGCCCGACGCGGCCGUAGAGGAGGCGCCCGAGGCCGGCGAGCGGCGGAAGUACGCGACUGUAGAGGAGGCAGAGCCCGACGAGCGGCGGAAGUGUGAUCGGGCUGGGGCUACGUCAGGAAGAUGGAGGAACUGCAAAACCAUUAUUGUAGCUGCAACAGAACAGUUCGUGCUCCGGCUGGGCGAUGCCUGGAAUAGAUAGAUCGUGCUCCGGCUGGGCGACGUUGGUUCGUGAGUCGUGGGUUUGACUGGGCAGUUUUGUCGGUUUUUUUAA